rnacentral:rRNA from 1 species
UCAUCUUCGGGGGUAGAGCACUGUUUCGGCUAGGGGGUCAUCCCGACUUACCAACCCGAUGCAAACUACGAAUACCGAAGAAUGUUAUCACGGGAGACACACGGCGGGUGCUAACGUCCGUCGUGAAGAGGGAAACAACCCAGACCGCCAGCUAAGGUCCCAAAGUCAUGGUUAAGUGGGAAACGAUGUGGGAAGGCACAGACAGCCAGGAUGUUGGCUUAGAAGCAGCCAUCAUUUAAAGAAAGCGUAAUAGCUCACUGGUCGAGUCGGCCUGCGCGGAAGAUGUAACGGGGCUAAACCAUGCACCGAAGCUGCGGCAGCGACACUAUGUGUUGUUGGGUAGGGGAGCGUUCUGUAAGCCUGCGAAGGUGUGCUGUGAGGCAUGCUGGAGGUAUCAGAAGUGCGAAUGCUGACAUAAGUAACGAUAAAGCGGGUGAAAAGCCCGCUCGCCGGAAGACCAAGGGUUCCUGUCCAACGUUAAUCGGGGCAGGGUGAGUCGACCCCUAAGGCGAGGCCGAAAGGCGUAGUCGAUGGGAAACAGGUUAAUAUUCCUGUACUUGGUGUUACUGCGAAGGGGGGACGGAGAAGGCUAUGUUAGCCGGGCGACGGUUGUCCCGGUUUAAGCAUGUAGGCUGAUUGUCCAGGCAAAUCCGGAUAAUCAAGGCUGAGGUGUGAUGACGAGGCACUACGGUGCUGAAGUAACAAAUGCCCUGCUUCCAGGAAAAGCCUCUAAGCAUCAGGUAACAUCAAAUCGUACCCCAAACCGACACAGGUGGUCAGGUAGAGAAUACCAAGGCGCUUGAGAGAACUCGGGUGAAGGAACUAGGCAAAAUGGUGCCGUAACUUCGGGAGAAGGCACGCUGGUGUGUAGGUGAAGUCCCUGCGGAUGGAGCUGAGACCAGUCGAAGAUACCAGCUGGCUGCAACUGUUUAUUAAAAACACAGCACUGUGCAAACACGAAAGUGGACGUAUACGGUGUGACGCCUGCCCGGUGCCGGAAGGUUAAUUGAUGGGGUUAUCCGUAAGGAGAAGCUCUUGAUCGAAGCCCCGGUAAACGGCGGCCGUAACUAUAACGGUCCUAAGGUAGCGAAAUUCCUUGUCGGGUAAGUUCCGACCUGCACGAAUGGCGUAAUGAUGGCCAGGCUGUCUCCACCCGAGACUCAGUGAAAUUGAACUCGCUGUGAAGAUGCAGUGUACCCGCGGCAAGACGGAAAGACCCCGUGAACCUUUACUAUAGCUUGACACUGAACAUUGAGCCUUGAUGUGUAGGAUAGGUGGGAGGCUUUGAAGCGUGGACGCCAGUCUGCGUGGAGCCAACCUUGAAAUACCACCCUUUAAUGUUUGAUGUUCUAACGUUGGCCCCUUACCGGGGUUGCGGACAGUGUCUGGUGGGUAGUUUGACUGGGGCGGUCUCCUCCCAAAGCGUAACGGAGGAGCACGAAGGUUAGCUAAUCCUGGUCGGACAUCAGGAGGUUAGUGCAAUGGCAUAAGCUAGCUUGACUGCGAGCGUGACGGCGCGAGCAGGUGCGAAAGCAGGUCAUAGUGAUCCGGUGGUUCUGAAUGGAAGGGCCAUCGCUCAACGGAUAAAAGGUACUCCGGGGAUAACAGGCUGAUACCGCCCAAGAGUUCAUAUCGACGGCGGUGUUUGGCACCUCGAUGUCGGCUCAUCACAUCCUGGGGCUGAAGUAGGUCCCAAGGGUAUGGCUGUUCGCCAUUUAAAGUGGUACGCGAGCUGGGUUUAGAACGUCGUGAGACAGUUCGGUCCCUAUCUGCCGUGGGCGCUGGAGAAUUGAGGGGGGCUGCUCCUAGUACGAGAGGACCGGAGUGGACGCAUCACUGGUGUUCGGGUUGUCAUGCCAAUGGCACUGCCCGGUAGCUAAAUGCGGAAGAGAUAAGUGCUGAAAGCAUCUAAGCACGAAACUUGCCCCGAGAUGAGUUCUCCCUGAGACUUUAAGUCUCCUGAAGGAACGUU